UGGGGAAUCUUCCGCAAUGGACGAAAGUCUGACGGAGCAACGCCGCGUGAGUGAUGACGGCCUUCGGGUUGUAAAUCUCUGUUAAUCGGGACGAAUGGUUCUUGUGCAAAUAGUGCGAGGAUUUGACGGUACCGGAAUAGAAAGCCACGGCUAACUACGUGCCAGCAGCCGCGGUAAUACGUAGGUGGCAAGCGUUGUCCGGAAUUAUUGGGCGUAAAGCGCGCGCAGGCGGAUUGGUCAGUCUGUCUUAAAAGUUCGGGGCUUAACCCCGUGAUGGGAUGGAAAAUGCCAAGCUAGAGUAUCGGAGAGGAAAGUGGAAUUCCUAGUGUAGCGGUGAAAUGCGUAGAUAUUAGGAAGAACACCAGUGGCGAAGGCGACUUUCUGGACGAAAACUGACGCUGAGGCGCGAAAGCCAGGGGAGCGAACGAG
rnacentral:rRNA from 1 species